rnacentral:rRNA from 1 species
ACUCCUGCGGGAGGCAGCAGUGGGGAAUAUUGCACAAUGGGCGCAAGCCUGAUGCAGCCAUGCCGCGUGUAUGAAGAAGGCCUUCGGGUUGUAAAGUACUUUCAGCGGGGAGGAAGGCAAUACGGUUAAUACCCGUGUUGAUUGACGUUACCCGCAGAAGAAGCACCGGCUAACUCCGUGCCAGCAGCCGCGGUAAUACGGAGGGUGCAAGCGUUAAUCGGAAUUACUGGGCGUAAAGCGCACGCAGGCGGUCUGUCAAGUCGGAUGUGAAAUCCCCGGGCUCAACCUGGGAACUGCAUUCGAAACUGGCAGGCUUGAUUCUGGUAGAGGGGGGUAGAAUUCCAGGUGUAGCGGUGAAAGGCGUAGAGAUCUGGAUGAAUACCGGUGGCGAAGGCGGCCCCCUGGACAAAGACUGACGCUCAGGUGCGAAAGCGUGGGGAGCAAACAGGAUUAGAUACCCGAGUAGUCCCAUGAU